AGUGAACGCUGGCGGUAGGCCUAACACAUGCAAGUCGAACGGCAGCACAGUAAGAGCUUGCUCUUACGGGUGGCGAGUGGCGGACGGGUGAGGAAUACAUCGGAAUCUACUUUUUCGUGGGGGAUAACGUAGGGAAACUUACGCUAAUACCGCAUACGACCUACGGGUGAAAGCAGGGGAUCUUCGGACCUUUCGCGAUUGAAUGAGCCGAUGUCGGUUUAGCUAGUUGGCGGGGGAAAGGCCCACCAAGGCGACGAUCCGUAGCUGGUCUGAGAGGAUGAUCAGCCACACUGGAACUGGGACACGGUCCAGACUCCUACGGGAGGCAGCAGUGGGGAAUAUUGGACAAUGGGCGCAAGCCUGAUCCAGCCAUACCGCGUGGGUGAAGAAGGCCUUCGGGUUGUAAAGCCCUUUUGUUGGGAAAGAAAAGCAGCAGGUUAAUACCCCGCUGUUCUGACGGUACCCAAAGAAUAAGCACCGGCUAACUUCGUG
rnacentral:rRNA from 1 species